CUCACUUCCCCCAUUUUUUUCCCGCUUUCUCCAUCUUGGCUUUCACUUUGUUUUCUUUUUAUUGCUAGGAUUUCCUUUCUGUCGUUUCUUUUCCUUCAAAUUAAACCCAGCCCAAUUUAUUUUCUCUCCUCUAAGAACCGAACUUGUUCUCAGCACUCAGCAGCCGACUUUCACUUAACACAAAUCCUAUCUCAAUCUCAGUCGACGGGAAAACCCACCAUUUUCACACCUUUUUGUUGUCCAUUUCUCUUCCACCACACCAAUACCCAGACCCAGCAACAUUCACUCAAUGGCUUGUUAUUGAAAUGCUCUUCAUGAUGUUCUUUGAAGUUGGCUGGAAAUAUCUAGAUCGUGAUGGUUGCUUUAGAAGACAUUGCUAAGCAAGUCUCGACAUAUGGUGAGAGGUAUGACUGUUUACAAGGUUCUUAUCUUUCCUUUAUUGCGAGGGAUAUGACACUGCUAGUAAGUUGCUUCUCAUAGACUUCAAUAUCUUUCCUUUGUUGGUGUGGUGGUAGUUCUCAGUUUAUUUUAACUCGAAACACUGGAUUCAGUUCUUUUAUUGGAACACAUGUUAGAUUAACUUGUUGGUUUUUUUCACGUUUUGCAGCCAUCAAUGUCCCAAGCUACGAUUCAAUUAGCUCUAAGUUCAAGUGAAAAUCAAAAUUGCUUUCUUGUGUUAAACUCGACAAGAAUUUUUUUCCUCAAGUUUGAAAAUAGGGAGUUUAGGUGAUUUCAUUGUUAACAAAAAAUUGCUUAUCCCCCUACCCAGGCAAGGAACAUAUUAUAGUGACAUUACUUCUGAAGACUGAAAACAAUGGGGGACUCCCAUGUUUUCUGCUGAAUUUCAUGACCUUGGUCAUGGUUGGGGAUAAAAGUCCAUGUUCUUUUACACUUACAGCAUGUUUGGUUGGCAUGAAUAGCCAUUCCAUUCCUUGCCUAUUCCCGCGCUACAGUAAUUACAACCCUAUUCCAACGUUUGGUUCACCGUUUUACUAAUUCCACAGUUUUGCUAUUACACCCUUAUUCCCUCAGCAGCUGUAAUAGGUAUUCAGGGGUUUUAGCUUGGAAUAGCUAUUCACCUUUUUCUGAUUCACAUUUUGAGACCAAAAUAGCCUACCUUCUUCUCCCCAAAAAUUUCCCUUAGAUUUCAUAUCCCCAAAUCAAGCCAAAUCGAUUUGCCUUCAUCUUCUUCCAGCCAAAGCGACUGAGAAACAGUAGCAGGAAGGGAGGUAAUCUUUUUCUGCCCUCAUCAAGCUUCAUCCUCUCCGACGUUUCCCUUCCAUUGAUUGCAGCGGUCAUUACCAUCUGUAGCAGCUCGCACUCUUUCCUUGUUUAUUUUACAGCCAUUAGUACAAUGAUGGGAUGAGGAAUGUUUCCAUGCUAUACAAUUCUCUUUUGAAAGUUAGAUGAUAUCUUCCUCUAUUUCAGAAGGGCUCUCUAAAAGCACCCAAAAAAGCUCUGGUGUUUCGUUUGAAUGCUGCACUAAAGUUUAGCUCCUUGAACUAUGGUGGUUACAAAUUUGGAUAGGAUUUUUAGAAGCUUAUCAAUAGAAUUAACGUUCUACAUUGUCAUUUUGAUGCCUAUAUGUUUAUAUGUUGAAGCUUUUCUGAAGGGAGACAUGAGCAGAAUAUGUCAAUGGGACCAUAACUACAUCAUGCUGACUUCUACAGCUUAGCAUAUAGAUUUGAUGCAGUGCAUUUGAGGAAAUUCAGUUUACUUCUUAAUUUAUGUAAUAUGAUGAAAAUCUAUGCAGUCUUAGAUGAGACUCAAUUUCUACUUGCUUCGUAACUAUCUUGGUAGUAUCAGAUGAGACUCAAAUUCAUGCUUCCUUGAGGAAUCAUGUUGAUGUAACGCAUUUUUUUAUAAAUUUGGUCAGCCUGUUGUAAUCAAAAUGGUGUGGAGCUCCUGGAAAAGCCUUUUGGUGAACUAGAAUUUGGCUUUGGUUUUGGACUGUAAAACAGAAAUUGUUGGCUUGAUACUUGAAAGUUUUAAAUGACUCUACUUUAUAUUUCGGUACUGUUGAUGAUAUUUUGGUAAUGAAAUCAUGUAACCUUUUGUUAA